rnacentral:rRNA from 1 species
GACGAACGCUGGCGGCGUGCUUAACACAUGCAAGUCGAACGCUGAAGCCCUUCGGGGUGGAUGAGUGGCGAACGGGUGAGUAACACGUGGGUAAUCUGCCCUGCACUCUGGGAUAAGCCUUGGAAACGGGGUCUAAUACCGGAUAGGACACAUCGCCGCAUGGUGUGUGUGUGGAAAGUUCCGGCGGUGCAGGUUGAGCCCGCGGCCUAUCAGCUUGUUGGUGGGGUGAUGGCCUACCAGGGCGACGACGGGUAGCCGGCCUGAGAGGGUGACCGGCCACACUGGGACUGAGACACGGCCCAGACUCCUACGGGAGGCAGCAGUGGGGAAUCUUGCGCAAUGGGCGAAAGCCUGACGCAGCAACGCCGCGUGGGGGAUGACGGCCUUCGGGUUGUAAACCUCUUUCGACCGGGACGAAGGAUUCGUUUGACGGUACCGGUAGAAGAAGCACCGGCUAACUACGUGCCAGCCGCCGCCGUAA